GGGUUGCUGGCUGCUAGAUCAAGCAUUAUGUAUCUAUACUUAUACCUAUACCUAUACUUAUAUUUGUAUCUAUAGAACACAUGAGAGUAUGUAUGCACAUGUGUGUGGUGUGUAUAUACUGGAAAGGUCUUUGCAUAUUUGGAAAAAUCCUCUGUACUGUGCAAAGCAGACAGGCAGUCAAACAUUCGGCAAGGAUUCCAGGCGCUGUGAAGGUGAAGCACUGGGACCUGGAGGUACUGAGUUGCUCAGAGUCAUAUGGGUUAUAGCAAAGAUGGGUGCUGAACCUGUGGUCCUAUAUGCUCAUCAAGGAGAGCUCUGAAAUGGAGUUUUAUAAAUAUGAGCACCUGAGAAGAGAGGAUUACAGAUCCUGUGGCCCAGAUUUACUCCUGACAGAGACCAGCUGAAGAAAACAUUGUCAAAUGCAAACAGGGAUGAACUUGCUCUGUGUCUGAUACAAACGUUCACAGAGGAUGUUGCAAGGAUGGUCUUAGCUCAGCACUCAGCCUGUGAGUGACAAGGGAAAACGUUGGGGGUUACAGGAGCAAUUGGGUGGUGAUGUUGAUAGGGACGUGGCAAGUUGCCUUUUGCUCAAAUUCUUGUUGGUCCAGUUCCAG
rnacentral:lncRNA from 1 species